rnacentral:rRNA from 1 species
UACGGGGGGGGCAAGCGUUGUUCGGAAUCACUGGGCGUAAAGGGCUCGUAGGCGGCCAAUUAAGUCGGAGGUGAAAUCCCCAGGCUCAACCUGGGAACUGCGUCCGAUACUGGAUGGCUUGAAUCCGGGAGAGGGAUGCAGAAUUCCAGGUGUAGCGGUGAAAUGCGUAGAUAUGCGGAGGAACACCGAUGGCGAAGGCAACCCCCUGGGCCUGCACUGACGCUCAUGCACGAAAGCGUGGGGAGCAAACAGG